rnacentral:rRNA from 1 species
GAUGAACGCUGGCGGCGUGCCUAAUACAUGCAAGUCGAGCGAACAGGCGAGUACCUUGCUCCUCUGACGUUAGCGGCGGACGUGUGAGGAGCACGUGGAUAACCUACCUAUAAGACUGGUAUAACUUCGGGAAACCGGAGCUAAUACCGGAUAAUAUAUUGAACCGCAUUGGUCGAUAGUGAAAGACGGUUUUGCUGUCGCUUAUAGAUCUAUCCGCUCCGCAUUAGCUAGUUGGUAAGGUAACGGCUUACCAAGGCAACGAUGCGUAGCCGACCUGAGAGGGUGAUCGGCCACACUGGAAGUGAGCCACGGUCCAGACUCCUACGGGAGGCAGCAGUAGGGAAUCUUACGCAAUGGGGGAAAGCCUGACGGAGCAACGCAGCGUGAGUGAUGAAGGUCUUCGGAUCGUAAAAAUCUGUUACUAGGGAAGAACAAAUGUGUAAGUAACUAUGCACGUAUUGACGGUAGCUAAUAAGAAAGCCACGGCUAACUACGUG